rnacentral:rRNA from 1 species
CAAGUAGGCGGUUUGAUAAGUCCGUUGUUAAAGCCCCUGGCUCAACUGGGGGAGGUCAAUGGAGACUGUCAGACUUGAGGGCAACAGAGGCACGUGGAACUCCCGGUGUAGCGGUGGAAUGCGUAGAGAUCGGGAAGAACACCCGUGGCGAAGGCGACGUGCGUGGUUCGCCCUGACGCUGAGUUGCGAAAGUGGUGGGAAGGCAAAACG